AAUAGAUACCCUGGUAGUCCACGCCGUAAACGAUGAGUGCUAAGUGUUAGAGGGUUUCCGCCCUUUAGUGCUGAAGUUAACGCAUUAAGCACUCCGCCUGGGGAGUACGGCCGCAAAGCUGAAACUCAAAGGAAUUGACGGGGGCCCGCACAAGCGGUGGAGCAUGUGGUUUAAUUCGAAGCAACGCGAAGAACCUUACCAGGUCUUGACAUCCUCUGACAACCCUAGAGAUAGGGCUUCUCCUUCGGGAGCAGAGUGACAGGUGGUGCAUGGUUGUCGUCAGCUCGUGUCGUGAGAUGUUGGGUUAAGUCCCGCAACGAGCGCAACCCUUAAUCUUAGUUGCCAUCAUUCAGUUGGGCACUCUAAGGUGACUGCCGGUGACAAACCGGAGGAAGGUGGGGAUGACGUCAAAUCAUCAUGCCCCUUAUGACCUGGGCUACACACGUGCUACAAUGGACGGUACAAAGAGCUGCAAGACCGCGAGGUGGAGCUAAUCUCAUAAAACCGUUCUCAGUUCGGA
rnacentral:rRNA from 1 species